CCCAUUCUCACUCCAAAGGCGUCAAAAACCGAAGCAUGGUCAAGCGCCCCUAGCGUCACUUUUAUGACGCCAAAUGUGCCUCUCGGCGUCGAAUAUCGAAGCACUACGACCUUCAUUGCUUUCAAUGGGAAACUUUUGGCGUCAGAAUUCGACACGAGGACAUGAGAUGUUUAUCGCUAUGAAAUCACGUUCAAGAAGUCUCAUUCAGCACACAUCGCGAUACUUGCUAUCAGUUCCACAGUUUGGCUGAAAAGACAUAAAGGCAGUCAGCCCAGUGGUGUUUCUGGAGAGGGAUUCCUUCAGAAAUGGAGAAGACAGAAAGCUGCGGAGGCAGAUAUAUGCAGCAGUCUAAAAUAUCAAGCUCAACAACUCACUCAAGAGCCAACCCUCACAAACCUUCCUAAAAACUAAAAGAGCUAUUACUGAGUCUCAGCGAAUCUUGCCAUGAUCAGCUCUUCCCAGG